CUAAAACCCAGACUUCCAAACCUUACCUAAGCUAUCUUAAUCCUUAUGAUGCUACUGUACUCAUGGAAUACCCUGUAUUUUUUAUGAAUACAUACAAACAAUAGUACAGUUUACAGUAAUAUUUCCAGUAGUAAUUGGGUUACAUAAAGAGUUAUUAGUUAUCCACAGUAUCCAGUGUAGUAGGGUUUAUACAACUGAUCACUUGAAUCAAUAAAAUUAAUUCUAAGUAUAUAUUUUCUAUGCCUUCAUUCACAUUCCAUAUUGCUUUUCUACCUAUAUUUACAUGUAGUUUUUCAUUGUCUUACAGAGAACAAGUUACAUAAAUUCCAGAAAAAAAGAAAUGUCUGGGUACAAGUUAUCACUACCCCUGGUGAAGUCCAUGAAAUUCUAAAGAUGUACCAUGUAGUAGGUGGAUGUCACCGGGGGGUAGUGAAAACAAAAGCUGCCAUUGGUGACUUGUACUUCUGGAAAGACAUGACUAAAGACAUUGAGAAUUAUAUAUCAUCAUGUCCAACUUGCCAGACUUUUGAGCCAAUAAAAACCCAAGCCCCUACCCUGAAGCAAAUCAAGGUAUCUCUCCCAAUGGAAGUUGUGGGAAUGGACCUUAUUGAAAGAAAUAGAUGUAGUUGGAGACCUCUCCCUCUCCUUCAUGGUCCACGGGUUCCACCUUAUUGAAAAUGUGCAGCACAGGGGUGCUGUUAUGUCUGCCCUCAGGUUCUCACCACAGGUAUUUUCCAUUUGAUAUUAGAAUUUACCAUUUCAGUUUGCUCUUCAGACACUCUCUUUUUCAAUCCUCUUCACAUCAUCCAUGGCAAGGCACCUCCCCCAAGUAACUCGCCUUUCAGCAUUACAUUAAUCUCAACCCCCUGCACACACUUCAUCGCUACACUUGUAAAUUUACUCAUAGUUUCCUCCUCAUCACAAGUACCAUGUCCAGAAGAGCUAAACUUUCACAUUAUUUGUAUGUAUAAUAUUUAUUUAUAAAGGAGAAUACCAAAGUGUAGUUUGUAUCUUAUUUAUUUAUUUAUACGUACUUUACUGUUAUAUAUUUAACAUUUAUUUGUGCAUACAUUUUGUAUUAAAAGGAUUUUGUAUGUAUUUUGUAAAUUAUUUUUUACUGUUUUACAUUGACAGCAGAU